rnacentral:piRNA from 1 species
UGAAGCCUUCUGUGGUUCUGCCUUGUCAAU